AUUGAACGCUGGCGGCAUGCUUUACACAUGCAAGUCGAACGGCAGCGCGGGCUUCGGCCUGGCGGCGAGUGGCGAACGGGUGAGUAAUGCAUCGGAACGUGCCCAGUAGUGGGGGAUAGCCCGGCGAAAGCCGGAUUAAUACCGCAUACGACCUGAGGGUGAAAGCGGGGGACCGAAAGGCCUCGCGCUAUUGGAGCGGCCGAUGUCGGAUUAGCUAGUUGGUGGGGUAAAGGCUUACCAAGGCGACGAUCCGUAGCUGGUCUGAGGGACGACCAGCCACACUGGGACUGAGACACGGCCCAGACUCCUACGGGAGGCAGCAGUGGGGAAUUUUGGACAAUGGGGGCAACCCUGAUCCAGCCAUGCCGCGUGCGGGAAGAAGGCCUUCGGGUUGUAAACCGCUUUUGUUCGGGAAGAAAUCCUCUGGGCUAAUACCCCGGGGGGAUGACGGUACCGGAAGAAUAAGCACCGGCUAACUACGUG
rnacentral:rRNA from 1 species